GACGAACGCUGGCGGCGCGCCUAACACAUGCAAGUCGAACGGAGUCAAGAGGAGCUUGCUUUUCUUGACUUAGUGGCGAACGGGUGAGUAACGCGUGAGUAACCUGCCCUGGAGUGGGGGACAACAGUUGGAAACGACUGCUAAUACCGCAUAAGCCCACGGAUCUGCAUGGAUCUGCGGGAAAAGGAUUUAUUCGUUCUAGGAUGGACUCGCGUCCAAUUAGCUAGUUGGUGAGGUAACGGCCCACCAAGGCGACGAUUGGUAGCCGGACUGAGAGGUUGGACGGCCACAUUGGGACUGAGACACAGCCCAGACUCCUACGGGAGGCAGCAGUGGAGGAUAUUGCACAAUGGGGGGAACCCUGAUGCAGCGACGCCGCGUGGAGGAAGAAGGUUUUCGGAUUGUAAACUCCUGUCGUUAGGGACGAUAAUGACGGUACCUAACAAGAAAGCACCAGCUAACUACGUG
rnacentral:rRNA from 1 species